UUUUUUUUUUUUUUUUUUCUACUCGUCUCAUCGCUCGAGCAACGCUUGCUCUGAGCUCAAGCUUCAAGCCUCCAUAGCAGAAGCUUGAAGCUUUGUUGCUCCCUCUCUCUCUCUCCAUCUCUCUCUUCUUCCCUGUCUCUCAUAAGUUACUUUUAGGGCUGGGCAUCUGAGCACUGCCCUCGCCGCCUCCUCCCGUCUCUGCGAUUCUGUCAGUUGAAGUCUCGGCGUCACACGCCACCGAACAGGCGCGCACCAUUGGCUCGUCGUGAGCUGGAGUUUCUCAUCUCUGAUCUCUACAAUCAUGUAGAUUUUUAGUUCCCUUUUUGUCCUUGUUACUGAAGAUUUGAUUUAUAGCUUAUUUAUAUCUAAUUUGAUUUUAUUUAUAUGAAUUCUUGUGUGUAACCUGAUUGAUUAUUUUUUCAUAGAAAGUGAUGAAAUGCUUUUAGAUUUUGACAUUAUGGGUCCAUUGUGUUCCCUAUUCUGGUUAUAGAAUUCAUUGGUUUCAAUUUUUUCAGUUGUUUUUGUUUUUUGUUUUUAUUAUCUCAUUUGAAGUCUCUAGCACUCAGAAGUCUGAAGGAUAUUUGCUCAGUUAUGCUAUUCACAUGGGUUGUAAUUUCUGAGAUCCUGCUUAUGUUGAAUUGUUCAUUUGAUGCUUCUCUGCAAUUUUUUUUCAUGUAUUGGUCCUUAAAAGAAGUAUUAAUAUGUUAAUCAACUUCUAUAUUCUAUUUAAAAAGAAUUCUUGAAUAUGUAGUCUUUUGCACAUCAGCUUGCCAUUAGUAUGAGCUCUGCAGUCAAAAUUAACUCAAUUUAUUGUGAUUGAUCGUUUCACUUAACAUGACAAGUUUUGAUAAGAGCUUGUUCAGUAUGUGACAGUAAAUAUCAUGUAUUUUGUACACAAGUUUUUUCUUAGACAUUUGUUCAAACUAGUAGGAAUUGUUACAGAAGAAGUUUUCUACUCAAGUUUUCAUUUUGAUCAAUUUCAUAGACACAUUAUAGAGGUAUCAAAUGUCAAUGUUUAGCCGUAGGGUGCCCUUUGGUUAUGGAUUUUGUGAGUUUUGUUUUGGACUGGUUGAGCAUUACAGAGGUAUCUCUCUCUUCAUCCACAUCUCUCUCUCUCUCUCUCUCUCUCUCUCUCUCUCUCUCUCUCUCUAAGUUAUAUAUAGCCAGUUUUAUUGUUUCUUUAUAUUUGUGUGGCCAUAGUUUGGAUUUUCCUGGUAUUGUCAAGGAUAUGGCUAGUGAACCAUAUUGAAGGUUAUAGUAAGUUGUUCUACUGUUAUGAAAAAUCAAGCUUUGAAUAGAGUUGUCAUGAGCUUGCCCAAAUUGGGUUCCAUGUAGAUUAUGUUCUAAGAAGGCUUGUUAGAUUUGACAGAGUCUAAGAAGGAAAUAUUACAGUGCAUACCUUACCAUGGAAUUCUUUAUUCAUGGAUUGUGUUGUGUGUGGUAGCAAUUUUGUAUCUCAGCUAUAUCAUGGAAUUCUUUAUCUGCUAUUUUAGUUGGAGAAUUGUGAAGAUUUAUUCUCAUUCCAAUUUUGCAAUUUGGUUAUAUACAAAUAUGAUGGUGUCUGAAGUGACAUUAUUGGGGCCCUAAUGGAAUUUUGCACAAUUUGCAUGAUCUUGAUGUGGUGGAUGAAGAAAGCUCUUGCGCAAAUCAAGCAGGGAACACACCCAUUUGCAUGAGUGAGGACAAUGCUAAUGAAAUUAGUGAUGCUAGAGAUUAGAUAGCCGGAGCAAUAUCAUUAGUCUUAGAAUUUAUUUAGUCUAG
rnacentral:lncRNA from 1 species